rnacentral:rRNA from 1 species
CGACCCCAGGUCAGGCGGGGUUACCCGCUGAGUUUAA